GAUGAAGAACGUAGCGAAAUGCGAUAAGUAAUGUGAAUUGCAGAAUUCAGUGAAUCAUCGAAUCUUUGAACGCACAUUGCGCCCCCUGGUAUUCCGGGGGGCAUGCCUGUUCGAGCGUCAUUUCACCACUCAAGCCUCGCUUGGUAUUGGGCAUCGCGGUCCGCCGCGCGCCUCAAAUCGACCGGCUGGGUCUUCUGUCCCCUAAGCGUUGUGGAAACUAUUCGCUAAAGGGUGUUCGGGAGGCUACGCCGUAAAACAACCCCAUUUCUAAGGUUGACCUCGGAUCAGGUAGGAAUACCCGCUGAACUUAAGCAUAUCAAUAAGCGGAGGA
rnacentral:misc_RNA from 1 species